CAGCUGUAAACGAUGCAGACUAGGUGUUUGGGCGGCCACGUGCCGUUCUAGUGCCGCAGGGAAGCUGUUAAGUCUGCCGCCUGGGGAGUACGAUCGCAAGAUUGAAACUUAAAGGAAUUGGCGGGGGAGCACCACAAGGGGUGAAGCUUGCGGUUUAAUUGGAGUCAACGCCGGAAAUCUCACCGGGAGCGACAGCAGUAUGAAAGCCAGAUUGAAGGUCUUGCUAGACGAGCUGAGAGGAGGUGCAUGGCGUAGUCGUGU
rnacentral:rRNA from 1 species